CCCCAGGGACCCCCGAAUCCAGGACCCCAAGGCCCUCCUGGUCCGCCGCCCCACGGCCCCCCGGGGCCAGGACCCCACCCGGGUCCACCAAAACCUGGACCUCCGAAACCAGGUCCGCCGAACCCUGGUCCUCCUGGUCCCAUUCUAUCGCCUGAGGACAGAUGAGGAUCAGACACCUGUGGUAUGUGGUGCACCGACUGAUUACCGGAGAGAUUCGCGAGUCGAGCUCAAGCAGGGAACUGUGCAAA